rnacentral:rRNA from 1 species
UACGUAGGCAGCGAGCGUUGUUCGGAAUUACUGGGCGUAAAGCGCACGUAGGCGGAUCAGCAAGUCAGGGGUGAAAUCCCGGGGCUCAACCCCGGAACUGCCUUUGAUACUGUUGGUCUGGAGGUCGAGAGAGGCGAGUGGAAUUCCGAGUGUAGAGGUGAAAUUCGUAGAUAUUCGGAGGAACACCAGUGGCGAAGGCGGCUCGCUGGCUCGAUACUGACGCUGAGGUGCGAAAGCGUGGGGAGCAAACAGG